rnacentral:misc_RNA from 1 species
CACCACUCAAGCCUGGCUUGGUAUUGGGCGACGGGACGCACCCGCGCCUCAAUUUCACCGGCUGGACGACCCGAUUCUCAGCGUUGUGGCAUUGAAGUCGCUGGCGGAGAGGGUCGACCGCGCCGUUAAAACUUUUUAUUCA